rnacentral:rRNA from 1 species
CCUACGGGUGGCAGCAGUGAGGAAUAUUGGUCAAUGGGCGGAAGCCUGAACCAGCCAAGUAGCGUGCAGGAUGACGGCCCUACGGGUUGUAAACUGCUUUUAUACGGGAAUAACGCGCCUUACGUGUAGGGCUUUGCAUGUACCGUAUGCAUAAGGACCGGCUAAUUCCGUGCCAUCAGCCGCGCUAAUACGGAAGGUCCGGGCGUUAUCCGGAUUUCUUGGGGUUAACGGGAGCGUAGGCCGCAUGUCAAGCGUGCUGUGAAAUGUCCGGGCUCAACCCGGGCCUUGCAUCGCGAACUGGCGUGCUUGAGGCCUCGGAAGGCAGGCGGAAUU